UACGAAGGGGGCUAGCGUUGCUCGGAAUCACUGGGCGUAAAGCGCACGUAGGCGGAUUGCUAAGUCAGGGGUGAAAUCCUGGAGCUCAACUCCAGAACUGCCUUUGAUACUGGCGACCUUGAGUCCGGGAGAGGGUAGUGGAAUUCCCAGUGUAGCGGUGAAAUGCGUAGAUAUUGGGAGGAACACCGGUGGCGAAGGCGGCUACCUGGACCGAUACUGACGCUGAGGCGCGAAAGCUAGGGUAGCAAACAGG
rnacentral:rRNA from 1 species